UACGGGGGGGGCAAGCGUUGUUCGGAAUUACUGGGCGUAAAGGGCUCGUAGGUGGCCAACUAAGUCAGACGUGAAAUCCCUCGGCUUAACCGGGGAACUGCGUCUGAUACUGGAUGGCUUGAGUUCGGGAGAGGGAUGCGGAAUUCCAGGUGUAGCGGUGAAAUGCGCAGAUAUCAGGAGGAACACCAACGGCGAAGGCAGCACUCUGGGCCGGAACUGACGCUGAGGAGCGAAAGCGUGGGUAGCGAACAGG
rnacentral:rRNA from 1 species